rnacentral:lncRNA from 1 species
AGCCGCAUAUGGCCGGCGCUGCCCUGUCGCCCUGAGCUGCCGCACAUGGCCGGCCCUGCUCCCCAGCGCCACCGGCCCUGACCUUCCCCCUAUUCGCCUCGGCCGUCGUCGACCCGAGAAGCCACCGGCGUCCGCAGCGCGACGCCUGUCUUCGCUCGCCGUCGACCACCAGCAGGCGCCCGCCUCCGCCUCCGUUGCUCUCAUGCGCUGCGACCUUCCCGUGCCGUGGGAUUCCGCCUCCUCUAUUCUCCCCUGCAGGCGGCGGGGCUUGGCAUCGAUGGAGUUGGCAGGGUCCAAUGGAUCCAGCGCCCAGACGAGGUUGGCGAGCUCCGACGCGGUCGCGGACGGCUUGAGCUCCUCAGGCGUCAGUGGCGCGUCGGUGUACUCCGGAUCGAACGAUGUACCCUCGAGUGUAAUUCGUUCGUGUGAAAUUUUCUCAUCUUGUUAAACAGCAAGUGACGAUGAUUAGUUAUGGAUAUUGUGUAUGGAUAUUGAUUCUUGAAACAGCAGUGUGUAUGGAUAUUGUGGUGUUCUUCGUCAGUUCAUUACCCCCUUCCCCUCUGGACAGAUUUAGAUAUACUUUUUUAUUGAAAAAAUCUUCGCCGUCUAUGAUAUUUGAGGUUGACAGCAAAAAUGGAUUCUGGCUGACGGCAAAGGCACUGACACCGUCCGUCAGUCGGGUCGUUCUAUUAAACGCUUUUUUUGCCGUCGGGCAAUUUUCGAUGAUGGCAAAAUCGGUUGACUGACAGCAAAUUCUUUGCCGUCUGGCAAUUUUCGAUGAUGGCAAAAUCGGUUGACUGACAGCAAAUUCUUUGCCGUCUGCCCGAUAAAAUGCUGACGGCAAAAUCCCCCUUUGCCGACUUUGUCUUUGCCGAAAAGGUUUGCCGUCAUGGGCUGAUGGCAAAAUCUUUGCCAUCUGCAAUCUUGCCUUUGCCGUCUGUAGGAGCCUGACAGCAAAAUGCCUGAUUCCCGUAGUGCACGCACCUAUACAAACAAAUAAGAACCUCGCAACCAACGCGAUAAAGGGGUUGUCAAUCCCUUCAUGGUCACUUACGAGAGUGAGAUCUGAUAGAUAUGAUAAGAUAAUAUUUUUGGUAUUUUUAUGAUAAAGAUAAAUAAAGAUGCAAAGUAAAAUAAACGGCAAUAGAAAUAAGUAAGUGUUGGAAGAUUAAUAUGAUAGAAGAUAGACCCGGGGGCCAUAGGUUUCACUAGUGGGUUAUCUCAAGAGCAUAAGUAUUUUUUUACUGGAAACUGUGAGGCAACAGCCCAACAGCACUUUAUUAAAACCCAACCACCAAAAUAACAAAGAGGUUCUGAAAAGAACGUGUAACUAUAGAGGUAGAGGCCUACUUACCUAUUGAGCUAUUUACAACAUAUACACAAAUAUAUACAUGGAUACAUACAACCAAUUAGGGCAAAGAAUUAACCCAAGCUAAUAACAGAGGUCUAAGACUAGACUUGAAUUUGUGAGAGUGCAGAGUAGCAUCAUGAAUGAAGUUUCUCUUCCAAGCAGCAAAAGAUGGCCUUUCAUGUCUGAAAAUUCUGCCAUUUCUGAGGAGCCAAAUAUUCCAAGCUGCUAGAUAAACAACCUCCCUGAAAAAAGGUUUGCCAAAGCUUUUCCUUGCAGCAAAUAAGCAUUGAGCUGUUGUUAAACCAGCUAACCAUUGGAUGUUCAAGUAAUUCCAUACCCUUGUGCUGAAUUGGCAUGUGAAGAAGAGAUGAUCUCUAUCUUCAUGGGCAUGGGCAAAGCGAAUUGGAUGUUCAAGAGCAUACGUAUUAUGGUGGGUAAACGAAUUACUGUCGAGCAAUUGAUAGAAAAGUGAAUAAUUAUGAGAAUAUCUAGGCAUGAUCAUGUAUAUAGGCAUCACGUCCGUGACAAGUAGACCGAAAUGAUUCUGCAUCUACUACUAUUACUCCACACAUCGACCGCUAUCCAGCAUGCAUCUAGAGUAUUAAGUUCAUAAGAACAGAGUAAUGCCUUAAGUAAGAUGACAUGAUGUAGAGGGAUAAACUCAUGCAAUAUGAUAUAAACCCCAUCUUUUUAUCCUCGAUGGCAACAAUACAAUACGUGUUGGUUCCCUUUCUGUCACUGGGAUCGAGCACCACAAGAUUGAACCCAAAGCUAAGCACUUCUCCCAUUGCAAGAAAGAUCAAUCUAGUAGGCCAAACCAAACUGAUAAUUCAAAGAGACUUGCAAAGAUAAACCAAUCAUACAUAAAAGAAUUCAAAGGAGAAUCAAAUAUUGUUCAUAGAUAAUCUGGAUCAUAAAUCCACAAUUCAUCGGAUCUCGACAAACACACCGCAAAAGAAGAUUACAUCGAAUAGAUCUCCAAGAAGAUCAAGGAGAACUUUGUAUUGAGAUCCAAAGAGAGAGAAGAAGCCAUCUAGCUAAUAACUAUGGACUCGUAGGUCUGAAAUAAACUACUCACACAUCACCGGAGAGGCCAUGGAGUUGAUGUAGAGGCCCUCCGUGAUCAAUGUCCCAUCCGGCGGAGCUCCGAAAAAGGCCCCAAGAUGGGAUCUCUCGGGUAAAGAAGGUUGCGGCGGUGGAAUUAGGUUUUCGUGGUGCUCCUGAAUGUUUGGGGGUACGUGGAUAUAUAUAGGAGGAAGAAGUACGUCGGUGGAGCAACGAGGGGCCCACGAGGGUGGAGGGCGCACCCAGGGGGUAGGCGCGCCCCCCUGCCUCGUGCCUUCCUCGAUCGUUUCUUGACGCCCACUCCAAGUCUCCUGGAUCACGUUUGUUGAGAAAAUCAUGUUCCCGAAGGUUUCAUUCUGUUUGGACUCCGUUUGAUAUUCCUUUUCGGUGAAACUCUAAAAUAGGCAAAAAAAA